rnacentral:misc_RNA from 1 species
AACGCACAUUGCGCCCUUUGGUAUUCCGAGGGGCACGCCUGUUCGAGCGUCAUUUAAACCAUCAAGCUCUGCUUGGUCUUGGGCGAGGUCGAGCGACCCGUCCGUAACCCGUUGGCGGUGCAGUCCGGCUUCAAGCGUAGCAAGAAUUUCGCUUUAGGGGUCCGCGACAGCGUCUGCCAGGGAAUAAUACCUAAAGUUUGACCUCGGAUCAGGUGAGGAUACCCGCUGAACUUAA